rnacentral:rRNA from 1 species
CAGUAGCCGCGGUAAUACAGAGGGUGCGAGCGUUAAUCGGAUUUACUGGGCGUAAAGCGUGCGUAGGCGGCUUCUUAAGUCGGAUGUGAAAUCCCUGAGCUUAACUUAGGAAUUGCAUUCGAUACUGGGAAGCUAGAGUAUGGGAGAGGAUGGUAGGAUUCCAGGUGUAGCGGUGAAAUGCGUAGAGAUCUGGAGGAAUACCGAUGGCGAAGGCAGCCAUCUGGCCUAAUACUGACGCUGAGGUACGAAAGCAUGGGGAGCAAACAGGAUUAGAUACCCCGGUAGUCCCUGUCUCUUAUAC